rnacentral:rRNA from 1 species
UACGGAGGGAGCUAGCGUUGUUCGGAAUUACUGGGCGUAAAGCGCGCGUAGGCGGUUUUUUAAGUCAGAGGUGAAAGCCCGGGGCUCAACCCCGGAAUUGCCUUUGAAACUGGAAAACUUGAAUCUUGGAGAGGUCAGUGGAAUUCCGAGUGUAGAGGUGAAAUUCGUAGAUAUUCGGAAGAACACCAGUGGCGAAGGCGACUGACUGGACAAGUAUUGACGCUGAGGUGCGAAAGCGUGGGGAGCAAACAGGAUUAGAAACCCCCGUAGUCC